AAAUUAUUAGUUUAAAAAAAAUAAAUGUUUUCUAUACAUUAGAUAAUAUAUUAUAUUAUAAUUUAAUG
rnacentral:tRNA from 1 species